AGGACGAACGCUGGCGGCGCGCCUAACACAUGCAAGUCGAGCGAGAACCGGGGCUUCGGUCCCGGGGACAGCGGCGAACGGGUGCGUAACACGUGAGCAACCUGCCCCGAAGACCGGGACAACCCGAGGAAACUCGGACUAAUACCGGAUGUCCUCACCGGAUCGCAUGGUCUGGUGAGGAAAUGGAUUCCGCUUCGGGAUGGGCUCGCGGUCUAUCAGCUUGUUGGUGGGGUAACGGCCUACCAAGGCGACGACGGAUAGCUGGUCUGAGAGGACGAUCAGCCACACUGGGACUGAGACACGGCCCAGACUCCUACGGGAGGCAGCAGUGGGGAAUCUUGCGCAAUGGGGGAAACCCUGACGCAGCGACGCCGCGUGCGGGAUGAAGGCCUUCGGUUGUAACCGCUUUCAGCAGGGACGAAGCCACUCGGGUUAAUAGCCCAGAGGGUGACGGUACCUCCAGAAGAAGCCCCGGCUAACUACGUGCCAGCAGCCGC
rnacentral:rRNA from 1 species